GAAGGUAUAGCUCACUGGUAGAGCUCAUGCUUAGCAUGCACAAGUUCACGGGUUCAGUCCCCAGUACCUCCA
rnacentral:tRNA from 1 species